rnacentral:lncRNA from 1 species
CCUCCAUGCUCCCGAAGCAUGGACAAUAAAAAUGCUGAAAGCAGAUCCUGGUUCCCAUGUCUGGGAUGACCUCAUGGAACACUGACUCUCCCAGUCACCCAGAGGCUGCCAGAUUUUGAGAUUUCAUGAACAGGAAAUAUGUCACAAGGAACUGGGGGAAAGAGCAGACAACAGUGGCUGGGGCCCUCUUCACUCAGUUCUUGUAUGGCUCCCUCCCUCAAGUCCUCAUUUGUCUAUCUGUUCCCUCAUCAGAAUGUGAACUCCAGGAAGUGUUGCCUAGUGCUGAGAAUACUGCAUGGCCCAUACGGAUUCUCAGAAUGACUUAAGAUGAGCCCUCCAUUCCUGUGCCCCUGUCUUCCUCCAGACUGGCCCAGUGCUCACCUCUUGAAGGGAACUUCAUGUGCUGUAGAACUUGUAGACAACGUAGGCUGGUACCAGAGCCAUGGAGGAGAACGUGAUGCCCCACCCAACCUGGUUGUCCCAGAGUGGGAAGAUGUAGUCAUUACAGCAGGAGGAAGGAAGAAUUUCUUUCUGUCCUUCAACAAGCCCAGCCAAUGGAAAAUACCACAGCUCAGCAAAUGAGAAACCAUCAUCACCCUGGACUCUUACCCUCCUCCAAGGAACUUUCACAGAACAGCCCUCUCUUCUCCCCUUUUUUCUCUUUAAAAGCACAAUCCCCUUCUCUGUUCUCCGGACUUGCCGGUGGUUUUUGCCAUAGCUUGCUUGUCCCAAACUGAAUUCCUC